rnacentral:rRNA from 1 species
UGAGUAACGCGUGGGUAAUCUGCCUCCAAGACCGGGAUAACAGUGCGAAAGUGCUGCUAAUACCGGAUAAUCUCCUUAUGCCGCAUGGGAUGGGGAGCAAAGCUCUGGCGCUUGGAGAUGAGCCCGCGUUCCAUUAGCUAGUUGGUGAGGUAACGGCUCACCAAGGCGACGAUGGAUAGCCGGCCUGAGAGGGUGACCGGCCACACUGGGACUGAGACACGGCCCAGACUCCUACGGGAGGCAGCAGUAGGGAAUUUUCCGCAAUGGGGGAAACCCUGACGGAGCGACGCCGCGUGGGGGAAGAAGGCCUUCGGGUCGUAAACCUCUGUCUUUGGGGACGAAAAUGACGGUACCCAAGGAGGAAGCCCCGGCUAACUACGUGCCAGCAGCCGCGGUAACACGUAGGGGGCGAGCGUUGUCCGGAAUCACUGGGCGUAAAGGGCGUGUAGGCGGCCUGUUAAGUCAGGCGUGAA